AGAGUUAAAUAGUACGUGAAAUUGUUGAAAGGGAAACGAUUGAAGUCAGUCGUGCUAGUGAGAAAUCAACUUGGGGGGUUUUGGGUUCUUAAGUUGCGGUAGGGUUAAACCACCUUUCUCUUGAACUCUGAGCUUUUUGGGUGUACUUUCUCUUUGGCAGGUCAGCGUCGAUUUUGGGGGUUGUAAAAUAACUGGGGAAAUGUAGCUCCCUUCGGGGAGUGUUAUAGACCCUGGGGGAUGCAGCCCGCGGGAUCGAGGAUUGCAGCAAAUGCUUUUGGCUUGUCGCCUAUCCGCUGGGUGUUACCCCGCUUGUGACAACAUUCUUGACACUUUGUGGGACUUGACAGUCACAGGUUAGAGCGUUCUGAAAUUUGCUAAGGAUGCUGACGUAAUGGCUUUAAACGACC
rnacentral:rRNA from 1 species